UACGGAGGGUGCAAGCGUUAUCCGGAUUCACUGGGUUUAAAGGGUGCGUAGGUGGGCAUGUAAGUCAGAGGUGAAAUCUCCGGGCUUAACCCGGAAACUGCCAUUGAUACUAUUUGUCUUGAAUACUGUGGAGGUCAGCGGAAUAUGUCAUGUAGCGGUGAAAUGCUUAGAUAUGGCAUAGAACACCAAUGGCGAAGGCAGCUGGCUACACAAAUAUUGACACUGAGGCACGAAAGCGUGGGGAUCAAACAGG
rnacentral:rRNA from 1 species